AGACUAGAACGUUGAUAGGCAGGGUGUGUAAGCGUUGUGAGGCGUUGAGCUAACCUGUACUAAUUGCCCGUGAGACUUAACCAUACAACACCCAAGGGGUUUUGUA
rnacentral:rRNA from 1 species